GUCCAUCUCCACACUUGUGCAGCAGAGAGCCAGAGGUAGAAUCUUCGAGGAGUGGGUAAUGCUGGCAAAGAAUGUAGACCUGCUUAAUGUAAAACACACAUGCAGAGUCCUAUAUGGAGCAUACCCUGUAAAAAGUGUGUGGUGGUUGGUAAUGGAGGAGUUUUGAAGAAUAAGACAUUAGGAGAAAAAAUCGACUCCUAUGAUGUAAUAAUAAGAAUGAAUAAUGGUCCUGUUUUAGGACAUGAAGAAGAAGUUGGGAGAAGGACAACCUUCCGACUUUUUUAUCCAGAAUCUGUUUUUUCAGAUCCUAUUCACAAUGACCCUAAUACAACAAUGAUUCUCACUGCUUUUAAGCCACAUGAUUUAAGGUGGCUGUUGGAAUUGUUGAUGGGUGACAAAAUAAACACUAAUGGUUUUUGGAAGAAACCAGCCUUAAACCUGAUUUAUAAACCUUAUCAAAUCCGAAUAUUAGAUCCUUUCAUUAUCAGAACAGCAGCUUAUGAACUGCUUCAUUUUCCAAAAGUGUUUCCCAAAAAUCAGAAACCUAAACACCCAACAACAGGAAUUAUUGCCAUCACACUGGCGUUUUACAUAUGUCACGAAGUUCACCUAGCUGGUUUUAAAUACAACUUUUCUGACCUCAAGAGUCCUUUGCACUACUAUGGGAAUGCCACCAUGUCUUUGAUGAAUAAGGUAA
rnacentral:sRNA from 1 species